GCAGCUGGGGCAGUAGCGGCGCCCUGUACCUGAAAUCCGCUAUAGCAGGAGUGAUGGUUGUCCCCGGAUGACUUACGGAUGGAGCUGCCCUUUAUAAGUGGUGUUGACAAUCGGGUCUUACGCAACAGGAACCUCUGAACCGUGUCAGGUCGGGAACGGAGCAGCACUAAGGAGGACCUUCUGUGUGCCGUAAGGGUGCCUGGUUCGAGCUAACUGUAGAGGUU
rnacentral:SRP_RNA from 1 species